rnacentral:rRNA from 1 species
UAGGGAAUCUUCGGCAAUGGGGGGAACCCUGACCGAGCAACGCCGCGUGAGUGAAGAAGGUUUUCGGAUCGUAAAGCUCUGUUGUUAAGGAAGAACGAGUGUGAGAAUGGAAAGUUCAUGCUGUGACGGUAGUUAACCAGAAAGGGACGGCUAACUACGUGCCAGCAGCCGCGGUAAUACGUAGGUCCCGAGCGUUGUCCGGAUUUAUUGGGCGUAAAGCGAGCGCAGGCGGUUAGAAAAGUCUGAAGUGAAAGGCAGUGGCUCAACCAUUGUAGGCUUUGGAAACUGUUUAACUUCAGUGCAGAAGGGGAGAGUGGAAUUCCAUGUGUAGCGGUGAAAUGCGUAGAUAUAUGGAGGAACACCGGUGGCGAAAGCGGCUCUCUGGUCUGUAACUGACGCUGAGGCUCGAAAGCGUGGGGAGCGAACAGG